rnacentral:rRNA from 1 species
UACGGAGGGGGCUAGCGUUGUUCGGAAUUACUGGGCGUAAAGCGCGCGUAGGCGGACCUGCAAGUCGGGGGUGAAAUCCCUCGGCUUAACCGGGGAACUGCGUCUGAUACUGGAUGGCUUGAGUUUGGGAGAGGGACGCGGAAUUCCAGGUGUAGCGGUGAAAUGCGUAGAUAUCUGGAGGAACACCGGUGGCGAAGGCGGCGUCCUGGACCAACACUGACACUGAGGAGCGAAAGCCAGGGGAGCAAACGGG